CUUCUAUAAUCUGGAAAAAAUUAUAAUUUUAAAAAUUUUUGUUCUUAAAGGAAGAUAUUUCCAAAUCAGUCGAUCUCACUUGGUAGCGUACCCUAAUGUAAAUACAGAGCGAAACUAUGGCUAUAUCUUCUCCUUCACUAAAGUGGAAAAGAAGCUCAGAAUUGAAUUGGAUGACUAGGAGUUCAUCUGAGUGUGAAAGGGAACUCCAGGAGUGUAACCUGUACUGAUACACAAAUGGCUCGAAGGUACCAGAAGGCAUAGGCGCUGGAAUAUACGGCCCCGGAACCAAGCGUUCCAAGUAUCUUCCAAGUAAAGGUGAAUGCUAUCUGUCUACGUUUAGAGAUUAUCUUAAAUAGGAACUUCCAGAAUGAGCGAAUUGUCAUUCUGAGUGACAGUCAGGCGGCACUCAAGGCUUUGUCAUCCUCCGAGAAUAAGUCUUCACUGGUUCUUCAUUGAAUGGAGAAACAGAAUCUGUUAGGAACGCACAAUCGCAUCCGGCUAAUUUAGGAUCUAAAUGCAGUCAGGAAAAAGGCACAUACGCUCAGUCCAACCCAGCUCUAUCUUAAGUUUAAUAAGGGAACUGGAUUUGGACGAUGUGCUGUGAUGAGUAGAGGGCCCAAAAGACGAUGAGAACCAAUAUUCAAUGAAACUUCCUACAUUUUGAAUUUCUUAAUAUAACUAGAUCAGAUUUGAGCUGUGCGUGCCUAUAAACUUAAUUAAUUGUGGUUCCGCAGAAAUACACCAAAUACCAAAAAGGGUCACUGAAAGCGUUAACAGAUUAAUUCUUAUCAUAAAAUCGUUCACUUCACUAUUUCU